rnacentral:lncRNA from 1 species
AUAUUAUAUAUGUAGUAUCAUUAUUAUAUAAGUUAUUAUAUAUAUAAUAUAUACUAUAUGUAUGUACAAUAUUAUAUAUAAUAUGUAUGUAUUAUAUAAAUAUAGUGUAUAUAUUAUAUAUAUAUUAUGUACGUAUAUAUAUAUAUAUAUUAUAUAAUAUUAUAUAUUAUAUUUAUGUAUUGUACGUUAAUAUAUAUAUAUAUAGUAUCAAUAUUUUAUAUAUGAUGUUAAUAUAUAUUUAAAUAUAUAUAUUAUAAGCUGCGACGAUAUAUAGAUAUAUAUAGGCCCAACAAAACGCUAUUAUAUUAUAUGUAUAUUAUAUACAUAAUAUAUAUUUGUAUAUUUAUAUAUAGUUAAUUAUUUAUACGAUAUAUAUUGGACUAUAUAUUAUGUAUUGUACAUAUAUAUAUAUAUGGUAAUGUAUUAUGUACAUAUAUUAAUAUAUGUAUGUAUGUAUGUAACUAUAUAUGUAUUGUCAUGUAUGUACAUUAUUAUAAUAUAUAUAAUAUAUAUUUUAUAACUAUAUUACCUUAUAUAUAUAUUUAUUAUAUAUAUAUAUAUAUGGGGUGUACAUAAUAUACAUUUAUAUAUAGUAUAUAUUUUAUAUGAUAUAUAAUAAUCUAUGUAUGUAUGUACAUACAUAUAUAUAUAUAUAUGUAUGUACACACAUAUAUAUAUAUAUUUAUGUUAUGUACAUAUCAUACAUACACAUAUAUUAUAUAUAUAUAGUGCUGUCUGAGUAUGUUCUGAGUACGGGACGCGCGUCCGCUGCUUGCCGAGCGGUAUUCAAAUGUUCGGACUUUCGAUAUCGACGAUUCGACUCCUUAGAUUUGAUAUAGAGUAUUUGAGGAUCUAGAAAAUAAUUUUGUAUUUUUCGAUUCAUUUGCUAUGUGAUCGAAGUGCUCAAAUCACACGGAUGAAAAUAAAAAUAUACAAAAUAUGGAUGAUAUGACAUUAAAAUUUUUUAGAUCAAAGUUUUGAUCUUUUUAUACGGUAUAAAGAAUUUCUAUCAAAAUUUUCAUGUUGAUUUGGAUAUUUCUACACGUUAAACUUGGCAACGGAGUCCCACGGCCUGUUAAAAUAUUGAUUUGAGCCCUUCGAUCAUUAGGCAAUUAUCAAAAAUCACAUAAAUUUAUUUUCUAGAUAUUAUCAAUACUCUAGAUCAACUCCUAACGGAGCGAUCGUCGAUUCAAACAAGUCCGAACAUCGAAACAACUUGAAGCACGGAGGGCUCCGUGCUUCCAAAAGCAUAUCAGCCACUUCAUAUAUAUAUAUAUAUAAUAUAUAAGUAGGGCUAGAAUACUUGCUAAAAGUAUCCAUGGGGGUGAUACUUUUGUGUUUUUUAGCCCUUUGGAUGCGAGAGAUGUGAAGUUGAGAUGAUGGUGGUAGGUGGUGGUAGUGGUGGGGUAGGUGGAAUAGUGUUUAAUCCAAGGGCUCGAUUUAAUAUCAAAAAGUAAUCCAAUGGCUUAAAAAUCCUAAUUAGCACCAUGAUGGUUGAUAUUGUAAAAGUAUCAUAGCUCAACUCUAUAUAUUAUACAUAUAAUAUUAUAUAUAUAUUAUAUAUUAUUAUUAUAAUAUUAUAUGUAUAUGUAUAUUGUACAUAUAUGUAUAUGUACAUAUAAUUAUAAUUACAUAUGUACAUAUACCAAUAUACAUAUAUAUAUAAUUAUAUAUAUGUAAUAUUCGUAUAUAUAUACAUAGUAUAUCUACUACUAUAUACAUAUGUAUAUAUAUUAGAUAUACAUAUGCUAUAUCUAUACUAUGUAUAUCUAUAUAUAUAUACAUAAUAUAGAUAUACAUAUGUAUAUAUAUGUAUAUGAUAUAAUAUAUAUAUAUAUUAUAUAUAUAUGUUCAUUAUGUAUAUAAUUAUAUAUUACAUAUGAUUACAUAUGUAUAUAGUAUUAUAUAAUAUGUAUACAUAUGUAUAUAUAUAUAUAUAUACCUAUGUAUAUAUAUAAAUAUAUAUGUAAUUAUAUAUAUACAUAUGUAUAUCUAUAUAUUACAUAUUGAUAUCUAUGUAUAUAUAUAUAUACAUAUGUAUUUAUAUAAUAUACAUAUUAUAUUAUACAUAUGUAUAAUAAAUACAAUAUGAUAUAUAUAUGUAUAUAACAUAUAAUAUAUAUAUAUGUAUAUACUUACAUAUAUAUAUAUGUAUUAUAUACUAUAUAUUAUGUAUAAGUAUAUAUUAUAUAUAUAAUAGAAUGGAGGCUCCUAUGCUUUUAAAAGUACCAAGGUUUAUUGAGUGCUUUCUGUAGAUUUUUUAGCCAUUUGAUUAAGGAUAUCGGUUUAGAAUGAUGUGGGCCCUAGGUUGAGUGGCGUGGUUGGUUGAUAGUAUAAUCUAAUGUGGGAAAAUGAUCCGAGAAAUAGAUCUAACAGUAAAAACUUACAAGUAGCCAAGCUGCUCUGUCUUUUACAAGCACCAUAGCUAGCAUAUAUAUGAUCAUUAUAGUCUGGCGUGGGUCUAUCGAUCACCAAGACUUGAGUGUAGCACUUAGUGCUAUCGAGUUUUCUACGUAGAUUACCCCUGUUGAUUAUUUUUAUCCGUUAGAUCUAUGACUUUCAACAACCACCCACUAACCUUUUGGGAGCCCCCAUUCAUCCUGAACCGCAACAUUCUCUAAUCAAUGGCUAAAAAACUAAUAACGACAACAACUUUGGUGGCUAAUUCGAUAUUUAUUCUAGCCUAAAUUAUAUAAUACUAUAAUAUAUAUAUAUAUUAUUAUUAUAUAUAUAUAUAAUAUUAUAAUAUAGUGAGCUGACUAUGCUUUGGAAAUACGGGAGCCUCUGUGUUCCAGGUCUUUUUAUCCAUGUUGGGACUUUUGAAUCGCUUGAUGGAUCGUUAACUUGAUCGUAAAGAUUUGACAGUACCUAGAAAAUAAAUUACGAUGAUUUUUUCGUAAUAUUAUUUGCUUAGUGAACGAAUGGGCUCAAAAUCACGCUGAAAAUUAAAAAAUUUACAAAACGUCGAUAAUAUGACUUUAAUUUAGAUCAAAAAUUAUUGAUCUUGUUUUAUAUUUAGCAUAAAGAAUUUCUAUCAAAUUUCACAUGAUUUGGAUAUUUCUACACUGUUAAACUUUGAAAAGCUCACUACGCAUUAAAAUUAUUAAUUUGAGCCCUUCUAUACUAGCAAGAUAUAUCGAAAAAUAUAAAAUUUUUCUAGUACUUCAAAUAUUGUAGAUCAAGUUUGACAGAGCGACGACUUCGAAAGGUCGCAACUCGGAAACGACCUGGCAGCCGGAAGUUCCUGUUCCAAAAUAGUAGCUCACUUAAUAUAUAUAAUUUAUAUUAGAUCCAGCAUGGGCUUGUUAAAAAGAACAAGCACUUGGAUGUUGUAAUUGUUUUUUACCGUUUAGAUCUACUCCUCGGAUCAUUCUAUCAACUAUAGAUUAUACUAUUCAACACAACACCCACUCAACCCUAGGGGGCCAUAUCCUAACCGCAUAUAUCUUAAUCCAAUGAGCUAAAAACUCUAUAAGCACCAUAAUCUUCGGACUUUUAAAAAUAUAGAGCCUAAUAUAUUAUUAUAUUAUAUAUAUAUAUAUAUAUAUGGGCUUACUAUGAAACAAAAAAAAGGUUUACCAUCAUUUUCUAGCAAUUCCUUUCGAAAGUCUCAUGACAACUAAGUUCCUGUACGAGAAAAGCUUUUGCAUUCAUUAUCACGAAAGCAACCAAGUUCCCACAAUAUAUUUUCCGAUCAAAAAAACAUUACCACACAUGAAUAUCGAAUCUUUCUAUGUAUUAUCAAUAUGCCAAAAAUGAAUAAUAAGCCAUACUUUUAAUGAAGCAGUAAUAACGGAAUAGCCUAUUAGCUUAUAUAUGUCGAUAUAUUUAUAUAUGUAUAUCUAGUGCUCAAACGGACUCAAAAUUAAUGCGCGCAGAACCCCCGCGGAGCGUCGGUGGUGGCGUUGGGACGGCGGGAGGCCGGGGGAAUGCGGAAGUGCCAGAGCCUUCCGGCGCCGCCGACGCGGUAUUUUUCGCAGAGGAACUCGAGCGCGUAGGCCCUCUCGACCCUGCGGUCGACGUCGUGGAGGAAGACGUCGGUGUCGCCUUCGCCGCUCCGGGCCCAGGCCAUCGCCGCCGCCGUGUAGAUCGCGCCCAUGCGGCCCGGCGCGGCGGCGAAGUAGCCGCGCGGCGCGUCGAUCAUGAUGGCGUCCCACUCGCGCGCGUAGGCCUCGGCGGGGAGGUCGGGGAGGGCGAGGGGGCAGCGGCGGCCGCGGGGGUCGAGAUCGGCGCAGGGGGAGGGGUCGGAUCGGAGGGAGGCGAGGAGGGCGUCGGCGUCGUCGAGCCGGGUCGGGUAGCGGGCGAGGCGGGCGCGGAGGGAGGGCGCGGCGGCGAGCGCGGAGCGGAGCCACUUCGGGUCCUCCUCCAGGAACAGCGUGGCGCCGCCGGGGUUCAGCGCCGACCAGAGCAGCGAGUCGUGCCCCACGCCGAACACCAGCAGGUUGCACGGCGCGCGCCGCCGGAGCACGGCCAGGGAGACGCCGAUCUCCGCCCGCGACUGCUGCGGCACGACCGAGCUCGUCGCGUAGUGGACCAGCGCCGCCGACAGCUCCGCCGCCGCGGCCGCGGAGGCCGCGGCGUAGGAGGCCGAGACGCCGUCCGAGGGCGAGCGCCAGCGCGGCGCCACGAUGGAGCAGAGCAGGGCUGCGCGGUCGCCGGCGCCGGACCGGAGGACGAGGGCGGAGGCGACGAGCGCCGCCGCGACCAGCGCCGCCGCCGCGGUCGCCACGAACCGCCUCUCCGGGAGCGCGCGCGCCAUCGCGCAGGUGAUCGCCGAUCUUUUCCCGAUUUCUUUUUCCCCCCUUAUUUUAUUAUUAUUUUUCUUUAACUCUCUCUGGAAAAAAUCGCCGAGCAAUGAACAGAGAAAGAGAGAGACAGUGUGAGUGAGAAAAAGAGAGAGAGAGAGAGUUAAUGGAGAUUCGAGAUGUGGGGAACGAGCAAUGUAAGGUGAAUUUCACUACAAGUCCCCAAACUUUCAUAAAAUUUUGUUUAGUCCAUAAACUCUUUAAUAAAAUGUUAAUUAAGGCCCUACACAUUCAAAUUGUUUCAUCUUUAGUUCAUACUUUAGAUUAGAAGCUAUUCCUUAUAUACUUAUUUAUCUACUUCUUUGUACACCAUAAAUUCAUCAUCUUUUCAUCCAUUCAAAAUUCUAAUUCUUUUUUAUGUUAAAAAAAUUGUAAUUUAAUAAACAGUAGAAUUAAUAUAUAUGAUGGAAAAGAAUAUAUCCAAUUUAGAUACUGAAUAAAUAUACAGAUGUACUGAGUGUAGAAAAUAAAUUACUAUAUAAUAAUAGUAAAUAUAUAUAGGAACAAAAGUUAAAUUUGCAUUUAUUAUAGUAAAUUUUGAUUGGAGAACGCUACUCAUCAAAUAUAGAGUGCGGUGUGCGGAGUGUUCGCAUGCACUAGUUGCAGGGAAUAAUUUCUCUUCACCGUUUAAUUACGAAAAUGCCUUCGUGUUUUCAGACCACGAUUCGCCAUUUAAUUACCGGAAUACCAUCCUCCGCACUCGUGGUUUUGNUUUUUUUUUUUUUUUUUUGUCCGCCCACUCCCCGGUGCAGUUACCGCUGGUUCGGAGAAUUUAGGGCAGGGAGGUAAUUUCGCACGGCGGUGGAAAUGGUUUUCGAAGUGCGAGCGAACCGAUAACUUGGUGACACGUGGCGUGUAUAUGUCAGAUAAAGUGGAUCUUAUACGUGGCGCGUUGUAAUAGAUUGAUUCGGGUCGUGGGAGGGGUCGGAUCUGAAUUUCUCCGACCGAAUCGCGUAGAUCCACGUGGUACGAUGUACUGAGCGGAUUUUUAUUUUUUUUUUUUGAAAAAAUGUGUAUAGCCCCCUCAACUAUGGAUCGUUUUGAACUACACCCAUCAAUUUUGUUUUUCUAAUUCGGACAAAAAACUUUUAAUUUUUUUUAAAAAAUUCAAGUUUUCAAACUUUGUUGCAUUAAAACUAUAACUUUAAUAAUUAUUAACCGUUAAUUUCUCUUCUUUCCUUUGUUAAAAAUAUUUAAAGUUGUUAAAUUUGAUAAAUUAUUAAUAAAUUUAAAAAUUUUUAAUUUUGUUGACUAAAAUCACUUUAUUUGGAAAAAAAAUUAGAAGUUUAGGAAGGUCUUUGUCACAAAAAUAAAAGUUGAGAGGACCAUUUGAGAAUGGCCUACAAGUUUGGAUUCCCAACAUUUUUACCAUGUUUUUUUUUUUUUUUAUGGUUAAAAUACAUGGAGACCCCUCAACCUCUCCCCAAAAAAAUAAAAUAAAAUAAAUUGAAUAUUGGAAAAUAGAAGGCUACCAAUAUAUAUUUAUUUCUAAAGAAUGAGAAUUCUUUUAAAAAAAAUAAGAAAUUAUACCUAACUAGUUCGCUUUUAACUUAAAAAAAAAACUUCAAAUAUCACUUCUGUAGUUUCGUACUUUUUUACUUUAGUACCUUAUAGUUUAAAGCGUAUUAAUUUAGUAUCCUGUGGUUUCGCACUUUCUCACUUUAGUACCCUGUGGUUUAAAGUGCACCAAUUUAGUACCCUGUGGUUUUAUUUUUCUCGUUUCGCCGGCUUCUUUGUUCAUAUUUUGUUAAAUUAUACACAAAAAAUCUCAUAUACCUUAUCUAGGUUUAUCGAAUAUUUACUUUAGUUUCCUUUAUUUUUAACUCUAUUAUUGAUUUUUUUUUCUCCGUUAAUAUUUUGUUAAAUUAUAUACAAAAAACUUCAUAUACCCUACAUAGGUUUAUCGAAUAUUCACUUUAGUACCCUUUAAUUUUAACUUUGUCACUGAUUUAACGAAAAAAAUUAGUGAAAUGGAUAAUAAAAAAAAAAUAAAACCAUAGGGUACUAAUUUAAUACACUUUAAACCAUAGGAUACUAAAGUGAGAAAGUGCAAAACUACAGGGGCUAACUUGAUACACUUUAAACCACAUGGUACUAAAGUGAGAAAGUGUGAAAUCACAAGGGGGGUAUUUGAAGUUUACCCCUUAAUUAAAGAACAAAUUUAUAAACCAUUUCUCAAAUUACAAAACUUGAUUACAAAUUUAAAAAAUGAUAUUUGAAAGAAAGAUGAAGCUAUUUCAUCUAUUAAUAAAUAAAUUAAAAACAUACAAUAUAAUUUUCACAUACUCUUUGGUAGCAUUUGGUUCAGAAACAAGGGGGAAAUAAGCCCUUGUUCCCCCUAUUGUUUCCAAACGUAGUGUUUGGUAUCCGAGAGCAAUAAUUCUUAAAUUUUUGGAAUAAGCCGGUAUAAAGUUGGAAUUGUUGUUCCACCUUUUUUCUGGAACAAGCUUGUUGCAAUGUGAGAAUAAGAUUAAUUAAACUCUAAAAAUAAUUUUAAUUAUAGUAUUAAUUAAUUAAUUAAUUAAUUUAAUAUAUUUAAAAUAUUAUUUAAUACUUAAAUAAUAAAAUAAUUUAUUAAUUUAUUAUUAUAAUUAUUAAUUAAAUUAUUAUUAUUUAUAAUUAUUAAUAAUUACUUAAUUUAUUAAUUUAUUAAUUUAUAAUUAACUAAUUUAUCAUUAAUUUAUUCUUAGUUAAUUAAUUUAUUAAAAUUAUUAUUUAUAAUUAUUAAUAAUUUAUGAUUAUUAAUUAUUUAAUUUACUAUUAAUUAAUGUAUUAUUAUUUAUAAUUAUUAUUAAUUUAUUAUUUAUACUAUAUUAUCUAAUUAAUUUAUUAUUAAUAAUUUAUUAUUUAUAAUUUAUUAUCUAAUUAAUUUUUUAUUAACUACUUAAUUUAUUAUUUAUAAUUAUUUAUAAUUUAUUAUUUAAUUAUAAUUAUUUAAUUAAUUUAUUUUUAUAAUUAUUAAUAUUAAUUUAUUAUUUUAAAGUAAUAUUUUGAUGUUUUUUAAUUAGAUAAAAUAUUUUUAAUUUAAAAUUAUAACUCUUAUUUCUUUUGUUCUAAUCUAGCCAUCCAAACACUAUUUAUCUUAUUCCUAGGACCCAAUUUUCAUCCGAAUGCAAAAUUGGUCUAGUUCCUGCUUAUACCUAAACUCGUACCUAUCCCUGAAAUAAGCAGUUUUUAUUCAUACCCGAACCAAACGCAGCCUUUAAAUUUAACUAAUUAUAUUCAUUUUUAAUUGAAUAUUUAAUUUUUCAAAAUUUUAAUUUUACUAUUCAAUAUUUCUAAUGUGUUAUUAGAUUUGAUUCAGUCAACGAUAUUUUGAUUUUAAAAUAUAAACACAUUAUUUAUUUUUACAAAUUUAAUUCUUAUACUUUAUUAAACUAUAAAUUUAUAUUAAAAUAAAUUAUUAAUUUAAAUUUUGAACUUAAAAUAUCGUUUCUAACAACUCAAUCCAUAGUUUCGAUAAAUUAUGUAUAUAUAUAUUUUUUUAUAUUUUAUUUUUUUGAAAAUAUUUUACUCAAAAAUUAAAGUGUCGUGGCACGAAGUCGUGCGGAAACUUGCUAGCACGGUACGACACAAUGCUUGUUGGACAGUGUUAAUGCAUGCCAGUCAAAAAAAUAAAUGUAUGCCGACACGUAAUGACGUAAAUUUUUUUUUAAUAAUAAAAUAUGUCAAUUAUUUAUUAUAUAUUUUUAUCAAAUUUUUAAAAUUUUAUUAAGAAAAUUAUUUACUAAUUUCAAAAAUAAAAGAUUUUGAAUUGUGUUAUCGGUACGAAAACUGUAUUAUAUCAAUAUCUUACUGAUAUGAUAUGGUACGAUGGAUAAAAUUUGUGUUGAUGGACACUUAAUUUAAUCUUUGAUUUCACCACUGGAAUAUAUAUAAGUUCGUACGACAAAAAUACCAAACAAUAAUUACACCGAUUCUACGAUACUUACGAGAUGUUUCACGGACCAUUUAUUGUACGGUGCACGGAUUAAGUGAUGGACCACAGGAUCAUGUUUUGGGGGUAUGUAUGUAUGCAUGAAUAUAAAACACCUUUGGAUAUGUUACGAAGCGACAAGUGGCAUUAUUUCAUUGGUUAGUAUCUUUUUGGCCACUUCUGCAUAGGAUCCUAUAAUGGAUCAAUACUGUAUAUAAAUUUUGCACUUAUUGGUAUAAAAUUUUAAAUUUUUUAAAAUUUUUUAAUAUUUAACAAAUUAAUAAGAAUAAUACAAAAUAUUGGUUUUUGGAUAAAUAAGGUAUCAGAUUUGUACCGGUUUUUUUUGGUGUAUAGGUUGUGGGUUCAUUUGUAUAAAAUACUCAUCAAUUUUGCAUUUUUGUAAGAAAAAGGCCAUUUUUUUUUUGUAAAUUUAUAGAUUCGGUUUGAAAUUUUAGUAAAUUGACCAAAAUAGUUUUGUUACCCUUUUUCUCUCUCUCUCUCUCUCUCUCUUUUUUUUCUCUUUUGUUUUCUUCCUCCCAGUUCUGUCUUCCUCUUUUUCGCUGUUUCUUCAUCUUUUUCUCCUCCCGCUUUCUCUUUUUCUCCUUCUCCUCCACCGCCCCCACGCCGACGGCUCGCUCUUCUCUCUAACCUUGCCCAUGCCUCUGCCGACUCCAUCUCGGAUAUGAUACAAAUUAAGGAGGUGAGACUGAGGUAGAGGGUUGGUCACGUCGACGACAACGAGGGUACCGUAGGAUUUGAGGACAAUGGGGAGGAAGAGCGAGUUGGGGUAAGGGCGGCUAUGACAACAGAGGGUAAGGGGAUGCGAUAACGUAAAAAGGUGAAGAAGAUGGAAGAAAAUGAAGAAGAAAAAAUAAAAAGAAAAUAUAAGAGAAAAAUAUAUAUAUAUUUUUUGAAAAGAUCAUUAUGUGUCAUAACUAUUAUAAGAAAAGACCAGAAAGUAUAAAAAAAAUAGAAGAAGUUACAUUAUUUGAGACGAAAUUGCAUUGUUUAAGAUUAUGUGUUACUUUCUGAGGUUAAAUUGCACAAUUUAAAACUAUUUGAAACUAAGUUGCACCAUAAAAAAUAAAGUUACUGAUUGAGACUUAAGUUGUAUUGUUUGAGAACCUGCAACUUAAUCUCAAAUAGUUUUAAAUGAUAUGUUUAAGUCUCAAUAGUAUAACUUUUUUUUUAUAUAGUGCAACUUAGCCUCAAAUAGUUUUAAAUUGUGCAAUUUAGUUCCAAACAGUAUAACUUCAUCUCAAAUAGUAUAACUUUGUUCUACACCGUGCAGCAUUUCUUCUUCUUUCUUCUCUAUUUCUUGAUCUUUCCUGUAACGACCACAUCAUAUGAUUGCCUUCCCAGAAAUAUAUACAUUUCUUUUUUUUUUCUCUUUCUUUUUUUUUCUUCUACCCUUCGUAUUUUUUACGCUAUCUCACCCCCUCCAUCAUCCUCUGCCGUAGUAGCCGCCCCCGCAUGCUCCGGCACGCUCUCCCUCCGUGACGUCCUCAAAUCUUACGGCACUCGCAUCACUGUUCACAACCACGCCCUCUGCCCAGUCGCACCUCCGCAAUCUGUGCCAUAUCCGAGUCGGCGUCACUGAAGGUGUGAGCGAGGUAAGAGAGAUCAGCACAGCAUUGACGUCAGAGCGGUGGAGGAAAAGGAGAAGGAAAAAGAAGCGGGAGGAGAAAGAGAUGAAGAAAUGGUGAAGAUGAAGGAGGAAGAAGAAAAGCAAGUGAGAGAAAAGAAAAAGGAGAGAAAAAGAGGAAUAAGAAAGGGUAUUUUGAUUAGUUUACUAAAACUUUAAGUUGAAUCUGUAAAAAAAAUUUUACAAAAAUACAAAAUCGAUGAAUUUUUAAUGCAAAAAUGCCUAGACAGUAAUACUCUUUUCUAUGUGAUUUGAAGGUUUCACUUGAAUCAAAUUAUCUAAACUCUUAUCGCUUUAUAGAUAACUAUUUUAAUUAUAGAAAUUUAAUAUUGUCACUUAAAAUUUUUAAAGUUGUGUAAUUAACCAUUUAAAUUCAUGUUCAAUCAAUUCAAAGUGGCUAACAUUAGCCAAAUGGUAAAGAAACAGCAAAAUAAUAUAAGAAGGUCUUCAUCAUAAAAAGCUUUGUUAUGUUAUAUAUUGAAGUGCAUUCUUUAUUAUUUUUUGACCAUUUAAUUUUAUUUUAAAUGGAUGGAAUAUAGAUAUCGGUUACUAAUUACACAAAUUAAAAUUUUGGAUGGCAAAUAUUAUAUUCUUAAAAUUUAGAUAAUUAUAUACUAACAAGUAAUAUUUUAAAUAAUUAUGAUGCAUGCAACCUUAUUUUAAAAAUACAAGAAGGUUAGAUUGUAAGAUCAAAACUUUUAAAGUUAAGAUAUCUAUUUAAAUAUAUGCUAUUCUUCAGCAUGUUUGACUGUCAGAAUAAGAUAUCCACUAUUAACUUAUUCAUUGUGAAGUUUUUUUCUUUAUUUUAUGUGCUUAAAAGUUAGUAAUUUGAUUUUUGGUCCACAAAAGAUCUUGAUAUUUAUUAUUUGGAUGGAUAGCAUAUCUUACUUAUAAGGUAAUUAAAAGUCGAAUCAGAUAUUUAUUUUAGACAUUUAAUCAUAUUUAUCAUCUCUUAAAUACUACAUUCUUUUUUAAUAAGAUGUCCAUAUAUCUAAACAGAGCUGUCGACAAUUUCUAGUGCAGGUGACAAAGAACUUGAUGGUUAAUUAGUACCUGUGGUUCUAAAUUUGAAACUUAAUUUUCUCACAAUUCCAACUAAGUUCAUUUCUAGUAAAAAAAAGAAAAAAAUAAAACAAAUAGCAUAUUACCCUUCUCUAUCUCAUAAAAAAAAAAAAAAAAAAAUCCUAAAGAGGGUCUUCACAUAAAGCCUAUACUUUCUUACUAUUGGACUCCAAUUUAGCACUAGUAUGUAGGAGUAGUAGGCACUAUUAGUACAAGCCCACAUUCAACCAUUCAUAAUAUAGGAAUGUAAUUUUAUGAAGGAAAAAUAAACAUGCCACAAAUCCAUCGGGUUAAACUUUUGAGUUAGAUGAGUUUCAAAACAAUCAUUUCUAAGAGAAACAAUCAUUUCGGGGUUUAUAUUUAUAUAACAUAUUUUAGAAUAUGGUAGAGAAAAAUGAUUGUUUCAGUUUUACACUUUAGGGUUUGGAUUCAGUUUCGAAAUUUUGGUCAGGUUUUGAAGCUCGAUAUUCAAAAUCCGUCGGGUUCACUUCGGUUCAAAUUUCGGAUUUGUUUGUUGGGUUCGAGUAUGAAUAUUAUUUUAAAAAACCACUUAAUUAAUAAAGCCUUGUUUUAAGUGUUUGGACAUGUUUUAACGGUUAGGGAAUGCAGUGUUGCUCAAUGAAGUAAUUUUAUCUGGUGUUAUUUACUAAAGCACUCUAUAAAUAUCUUGAAGUUUCGAAUAUGGACAUGAAAUAUUGGACACAACACGACUAAGACACAAUGAUUCAUCAACUUUAAAAUUACUAAGAUACGAACACGAUAUAAACACAGUUAAUUAAAUGAGUAAUGCUUCUAUACUUUUUUUUUUUUUUCAUUACCGUUCAUUUACUCCCACUCAACGGUAUAGAUUUAAUAUUCUUAAAAUUGUGACCUGCGCACAAUAGCAGGUCAUUUUAGGAGUGGUACCGCUUACCAGGUACCUCAAAAAAGGGUAUUUUUAUUUUUUAAUAAUGAGAAAUUUAGUCAUUUUAUCUCUAUUAUAUUAUUAAAAUUUUUAUUCUCUCUUUAUUUCUUUUUUCUCUUUCUAUCUUUCCUCUCAUAUUUGGCAUUUCAUAUAAAAAAAUUUUCAAAUUAUUUGACAACAAGAACAUGAGAUUAUUUUGUGAACCAACUAUAGAUUUUUUUUCUAUAUUCAUCUUGAAUCCAACCCGAAUCAUAUAUAAAGUUUAAUAUUAUAUUCGAAUCUAUAUUUUAAAAAUUUAAAUUUAAUAUAAAAUAUUUUGAAAUAUGGUAAAAAGAAAUAAUUGUUUCGUGUUCCAGUCUUUCGGUUUGGAUUUGGUUUUGGGUUUCGAAAAAUUGGUUAGUUUUGGGUUUAGAUAUGGAUUUUUGAAAUCCAUCGAAUUCGGAAAUAGAUUUUGUAAUUGUUAAUCGGGUUCGAAUUCAAAUUUCUAAAUAUUGUUUUUGUCUGAAGUAAUCCUAAUCUUUUUAAUUUUUAUGUUUAAACUAAAUUUGUAAAUUACUAAACUAAAUUCGUAAAUUAAUGCCUAAUUAAUGCCUAAAUUAGGGUAAUCAAUCAAUUUCCUAAAUUAGUGCAAAUUAAUGUAUAAAUUUAGGAUAUUAAUUAAAAGUUUCUUUAAAUGUUGUAUAGUUUAAUUACCGAAAUAACCUCGAAUAAUGUAACCCAUUUACCUGCUAAAUAUUAAAAUUACAUCUUUACCCUCUAUUAAUCAACGGUUAAGAUUUAUUUUAUUUUUUUAAUAAUAAAGUACCAAAUCAUUUCUCUAAUUAAAUAUAAUAUUCUGAAUAUAAUAAUAUAUAUUUAUUAUAUAUAUAUAAUAAUAUUAAUUUUGCUAAAAUAAUAUUAUAUUUUUUAUAUGAACGAAAGCUAAUAAUAAUUUCAUUGAUAGUUUGUAUAUUUUCACAAAAAAAAUCUCUACCGCACGUAGUUAUUUAUAUCCUUCAGAAGAAUUUGCAUGUAUUCAUCAAAAAGUCAUAAUAUUUAUUAUUUUAUAUUAUAUGUGCAUGAAAAAAGAUAAAGGGAAAACUUCAAAUACCUCUCUUAUAGUUUUACUUUUUCUCACUUUAGUACCAUGUGGUUUAAAGUGUAUCAAGUUAGUACCCUGUGGUUUUGCACUUUUUCACUUUAAUACCCUGUGGUUUCGCACUUUAUCACUUUAGUACUUUGUGGUUUAAAAAUCACAGGGUACUAACUUGAUAUAAAAAUAAAACCACAAAAUACUAACUUGAUAUAAAAAUAAAAUUACAGAGUAAUAACUUGAUAUAUUUUAAACCACGGGAUACUAAAAUGAUAAAAUGAAAAAUCAUAGAAUACAAAAAUAAAAAAGUGCAAAACCAGGUGAAAGAUUUUUAAAGUUUUCCUAAAGAUAAAAUAAAAUAUAUAUUAUUUUAUGUGAAG